rnacentral:ribozyme from 1 species
UGCCCAGCAACUCCUAUCCCUACCUCCUCGCGGUACUGGGGGUACGAGUAACCUUAGGGAAUCUAUGACAAAAGGUCGAAGG